AUAAUCAGAGUGGCGACAGCUGUUCGUUUGGAAUGACAGCUCCCAGUUCCAAACUAGCAAACGACCUGUCAAUUCAAUGUAAAACUAAUGGAAUGUUUCGAAUUGUUGCCAUAAUUACGGAUGAGAUGUCGUCACUCUGGUUAUAGGCACUCUAAUUUACAUCACUCAGUUUUGCACUGAAGAAAACCGGCUACAAUGAUUAAUCACCGAAUUUCGGUUGUCUAAAAGUUGUUUACUGAGAUUUCGCAUCAUUGUGCCAAUUCUCCAUACAAAUUUGGAAUGUUAUUAGUUUAGUUAUUAGAUUUCAAUUGAAACACAAUUGACCGAAUCAAGUGUUUCGCACAUACAUUUGUGCUGUUCUUAUUUCCAUUAGAAAGUGAAGUGUUCAACACAUGUAGUUUGAUGCAAUGGCAAAACACAUCCCAUCCUAAAGAAAUGUGAUGUCGACGACACGACCAGACACUUCGAAGAAAAAUCAGCAAUAAAAUUGUCCGUUAACGAUUUACCGCCAGUUACCACAAAAAUAGCGACCCCUUGUAAAUGAUAAAAAUAAUCUUCUCGAGCAACACUGUUUUCGUUGCUACGAACUAGUUACCUAGGAUCCACAGAAUAAUAUAUUAUUAAACAAGCAUUUUGGAAAAUUUGUGGAAUUCCUGAUAGCGACUCAUGGAUGUAGAGAUGCAACAGUCAUUAUCACAAAGAAGUGCUCCCAAAGUUGAACAUGAACUACAAAUACAAAAUCAAAGCUCUGGAAACGUAACUAAAAGAAUAUUAUUUCUGGCGGAAGAAAAAAAAACUGGUGAUAAAGAUGACGCUCGAAUUUUCGAAAUAGAUUGCAAUGAA